AAGAGACGAGGAAAAGAUUAAGAUCUACGAGGUAGAGGCCAAAACAAUGCGUGACUGAUCCAUUAACUUUCCCCCGUACUUACCAGACGAAAUUACCUAAAAAACGCCAGGGAGACGAGAAAAUGCCACUCAACUUCCGCGUCAGCUCUUAAACAAGCAGCGCAGCGAGCUGCUGCGGAAACAACGUUCAGAACUAACCUUCAUACGAAAUAUUACAACUUUAAAUAAAGGCUAAUGACUUACUUAAAUGUUUUCUACCCAACUACCUUACUCACUGGAAAUCGUACGAUUUAUGAAGGUAAGUUAUUCCUAGCUGUAACACUAAAUAUUUUAGCAACUCAUCAAAUGCGGCUUUCAAUGUCUUUUGAACCGAGAUCUAAGGAUAGUACUGUUUUGAAUUCUUCAAGACUCGCUGAUUUCUCGAGGCAGAUGAGUGAUCGACUAAUUGAAACUUGGACUUUUGUAUUUGUUUCGCAAAUUAGCAGAGAAACCCGAAAGAAAGCAAAGCGGUAUACCUUGAAAAUACUUAUCAAGAAUGCAGCCAUAUCGUUUGCGUAAGCAAAGUCCGGCAAUGUAAAGACAUGCAAUAUCCUGUUAACGAUUUGUAUGCAAUUUGUGUGUCGAAGAACACUUAUUACAGGAAUGAUGUUAUUCGCGAAAACAAAUUAUAUAGUUGGUUGAGUGCAAGUUAUUUCCCAGGGAGAUCUUUGGCCGCCAUAAGCACAUCAAACGGGGUAAAAUUUACAUCUCAGUGAAUCAUAACUGUCAUGAUUAUGAAUAAUUGUUUCAAGAUUGUGAGGUUCGCCCCUUUCAAGAAACCUCAGCGCUCUGUUUAGUUCAAUGGAAAGAGCACAAGUUACUCAAUCUUAUUCUAAAUUACUUACCAGUUCAUCAACAGUGUUUCAUGAGCACAUUGAAGUUCCAGCAGCUUAGAUUUUUGUCGCCGCUUCCUCUGACAUCAUCGCUUCUUGUUCAGCAGAACGGAACUGCAAUAUGUCUAAAAACUCAGUCACGCCACACCAGUUUGUGACGAUAUAUCGUCACGCCAUCCUCCUAGAGAUUUUUGUGAACAGCGGAUAUCCCCUAAAAUGAUGGCAACAAUAUGGCGGACGAGAGGUGUUUUAGCUGCGUUUUGUGCUCUCACUGUCGUAACAACUAUUGUGAACAAGCAUGUUUUGUCAGAUCUGAAGUUUACCUAUCCCACAAUCUUUCAAAGCUGGCAAACUGGAAGUGUUGCCUUGACGUUACUGUUCAUGAAUGCCUUAGGAUAUAUAGAACUCAACAUUGUACCAAUUAACAGGUAAUGAUAAUUUUUACAUCCUUUUGACUACAGUA